rnacentral:lncRNA from 1 species
AUCUAAUGAAACAUGCUUGGUAUAAUUGGUUUUAUUGUGUAGUAAGAUAGUACUAUGAUGUUAGAUGGUCUAUCUAUUGAAACAUGCUUGGUAUAAUUGGUUUUUAUUGUGUAGUAAGAUAGUACUAUAAUGUUAGAUGGUCUAUCUAAUGAAACAUGCUUGGUAUAAUUGGUUUUUAUUGUGUAGUAAGAUAGUACUAUGAUGUUAGAUGGUCUAUCUAUUGAAACAUGCUUGGUAUAAUUGGUUUUUAUUGUAGAAGAUAGUACUAUGAUGUUAGAUGUUCUAUCUAUUGAAACAUGCUUGGUAUAAUUGUUUU